UAACCUGCCCAAGAGAUCGGGAUAACACCUGGAAACAGAUGCUAAUACCGGAUAACAACAGAUGAUGCCUAUCAACUGUUUAAAAGAUGGUUCUGCUAUCACUCUUGGAUGGACCUGCGGUGCAUUAGCUAGUUGGUAGGGUAACGGCCUACCAAGGCGAUGAUGCAUAGCCGAGUUGAGAUACUGAUCGGCCACAUUGGGACUGAGACACGGCCCAAACUCCUACGGGAGGCAGCAGCC
rnacentral:rRNA from 1 species